UCAUCUUCGGGGGUAGAGCACUGUUUCGGCUAGGGGGUCAUCCCGACUUACCAACCCGAUGCAAACUACGAAUACCGAAGAAUGUUAUCACGGGAGACACACGGCGGGUGCUAACGUCCGUCGUGAAGAGGGAAACAACCCAGACCGCCAGCUAAGGUCCCAAAGUCAUGGUUAAGUGGGAAACGAUGUGGGAAGGCACAGACAGCCAGGAUGUUGGCUUAGAAGCAGCCAUCAUUUAAAGAAAGCGUAAUAGCUCACUGGUCGAGUCGGCCUGCGCGGAAGAUGUAACGGGGCUAAACCAUGCACCGAAGCUGCGGCAGCGACACUAUGUGUUGUUGGGUAGGGGAGCGUUCUGUAAGCCUGCGAAGGUGACCUGUGAGGGUUGCUGGAGGUAUCAGAAGUGCGAAUGCUGACAUAAGUAACGAUAAAGCGGGUGAAAAGCCCGCUCGCCGGAAGACCAAGGGUUCCUGUCCAACGUUAAUCGGGGCAGGGUGAGUCGACCCCUAAGGCGAGGCCGAAAGGCGUAGUCGAUGGGAAACAGGUUAAUAUUCCUGUACUUGGUGUUACUGCGAAGGGGGGACGGAGAAGGCUAUGUUAGCCGGGCGACGGUUGUCCCGGUUUAAGCAUGUAGGCUGGUUGUCCAGGCAAAUCCGGAUAAUCAAGGCUGAGGUGUGAUGACGAGGCACUACGGUGCUGAAGUAACAAAUGCCCUGCUUCCAGGAAAAGCCUCUAAGCAUCAGGUAACAUUAAAUCGUACCCCAAACCGACACAGGUGGUCAGGUAGAGAAUACCAAGGCGCUUGAGAGAACUCGGGUGAAGGAACUAGGCAAAAUGGUGCCGUAACUUCGGGAGAAGGCACGCUGGUGUGUAGGUGAAG
rnacentral:rRNA from 1 species